rnacentral:rRNA from 1 species
UACGUAUGGUGCAAGCGUUAUCCGGAUUUACUGGGUGUAAAGGGAGCGUAGACGGAUGUGCAAGUCUGGAGUGAAAGCCCGGGGCUCAACCCCGGGACUGCUUUGGAAACUGUAGAUCUAGAGUGCUGGAGAGGUAAGUGGAAUUCCUAGUGUAGCGGUGAAAUGCGUAGAUAUUAGGAGGAACACCAGUGGCGAAGGCGGCUUACUGGACAGUAACUGACGUUGAGGCUCGAAAGCGUGGGGAGCAAACAGG